GAAAAAUAACGAUACGGGACUCAUCCGAGGCCCCGUAAUCGGAAUGAGUACACUUUAAAUCCUUUAAUAAGUAUCAAUUGGAGGGCAAGUCUGGUGCCAGCAGCCGCGGUAAUUCCAGCUCCAAUAGCGUAUAUUAAAGUUGUUGCGGUUAAAAAGCUCGUAGUUGGACUUGUGUCCCACGCUGUCGGUUCACCGCCCGUCGGUGUCUAACUGACAUGUAUCGUGGGACGUCCUGCCGGUGGUGGCGAGUCGAAAGAUCGCGCCCCCGUGGUUCUGCCAUGGGUAGGUUGCGGUUCGUAGACGGACCCCGAUGAAAUCCUACCGCGGUGCUCUUAAACGAGUGUCGAGGUGGGCCGGCACGUUUACUUUGAACAAAUUAGAGUGCUUAAAGCAGGCCUGAUGCGCCUGAAUACUGUGUGCAUGGAAUAAUGGAAUAGGACCUCGGUUCUAUUUUGUUGGUUUUCGGAACCCGAGGUAAUGAUUAAUAGGGACAGUCGGGGGCAUUCGUAUUGCGACGUUAGAGGUGAAAUUCUUGGAUCGUCGCAAGACGGACCGAAGCGAAAGCAUUUGCCAAGUAUGUUUUCAUUAAUCAAGAACGAAAGUUAGAGGUUCGAAGGCGAUCAGAUACCGCCCUAGUUCUAACCAUAAACGAUGCCAGCUAGCGAUCCGCCGAAGUUCCUCCGAUGACUCGGCGGGCAGCUCCCGGGAAACCAAAGCUUUUGGGUUCCGGGGGAAGUAUGGUUGCAAAGCUGAAACUUAAAGGAAUUGACGGAAGGGCACCACCAGGAGUGGAGCCUGCGGCUUAAUUUGACUCAACACGGGAAACCUCACCAGGCCCGGACACUGGAAGGAUUGACAGAUUGAGAGCUCUUUCUUGAUUCAGUGGGUGGUGGUGCAUGGCCGUUCUUAGUUGGUGGAGCGAUUUGUCUGGUUAAUUCCGAUAACGAACGAGACUCUAGCCUGCUAAAUAGUCGCAUCCGGUAU
rnacentral:rRNA from 1 species